ACUCAUGACCCUGAGAUUAAGACCUGAGCUGAGAUCAAGAGUCAGACGCUUAACUGACUGAACCACCCAGGUGUCCCCACAUUCAAUCCUGUCUUCUAGUCUCCAUGAUGGAUGGCCUGAGACAGUGACCUGCCAGUGUUUGCCUGUUCCUUCUCCUACAUUUCCUUCAUCGCUCUCCAAGGUGCCUUAGGAUUAGCUCUUAGGAGGAAAAUACCUAAGAAGAGGUGAUUAAUCACUGUCUGAAAAGUGCUUUGAGAUCCUCUGAAGAAAGGAACAGUUAAACCAGUGUAAAGUGUCCAGUGUUCCUGGCUACUCUGGAGCUAUCAGCAGCUCAGCCAAACUGAAGGAUAGCCUCUAAAAUUGUAUCAGCUUCAGGCCCCACAAAAUCUGGAUGUGCUCCUGGUCCCAACACAGUUGGUUGACAAACACCCUCCUGUCCCCAAUCCUGCCCGGCCACCUGCGCUUCUCCUAUAAGGCUCUGAAACCACACUCACUCUCAGAUAAAGACUAACCUUGCAGUUAAAGCCCAGUAGGAGCCAACUCAGAAGAAGGCAGACACCAGAGAGGACCCAGGCGGCCGCCAGAGGUGCAGCAGAGUCGGGGCUCUCAAAGAGGCCACACCGCUGUGGAUCACACUAAAGAGAGGCAGGCCUGCUUUGGAUAAAGUCUCAGCUCUUGAGCCGUGAAGCCCAGGCAGGCAGGCACAUCGGCAGAACCCCAGAAGACUCCAUGCCCUGUGAUAAGGACCAGAGAGGGGGUCACCGCACCAGAACCCUGCCAUUAAGCUCCCAGGGUUCCCACCAGCUUGCCACCAGGAGAAGCUGGAGAGUGACACCAACAUCUACAGUGUGUUUCUUAUGGCUCAGCUGGCAGAGGCCCUGGGGGACUUCCAAGGCAUCUGGGAGCUAAAUGGGAUACCAGAGUUCCAGAGGUUCCUGUGAAGGCCCGAAACGGGCAGAAGAACAUCAAAGGCUUCUCAAGUAAGAUGAUUAAUCAAAUAGAUGUCUCAAAAGGUGCCUUUUCCUACUGAUAAGAGCUAGACACUGGCGAGGACACCUCAAGCUCUUUCAAGAGAAAAAUAAGCCCAUGUUGUUGUGGGAAGCUAUGGAAGGAUUGGCUUUUCGGCACACUUGAUACCUACUGUUCCCACACAAGUCCGAGCUUCCCAGACUCACCACAACCGCUGUCAAAGCCUCUACCGGGUCUCUGCUAUAUCCAGCCUCCCCCCCACAUUCUCUGCACAGCUGCCAUAGUCCUCUUUUAAAGAGGGAAAGUGAGGGGCGCCCGGGGGGCUCGGUCGGUUGAGCAUCCCACUCUUGUUUUCAGCUCAGGUCAUAAUCU